rnacentral:tRNA from 1 species
GGUGGCCGCGGGAAAGAUGCGCGGACUGUAAAUCUGCCGGCUCAGCCUACCCAGGUUCGAACCCUGGCGCCGCCA